GACGAACGCUGGCGGCGUGCUUAACGCAUGCAGGUCGAACGGAAAGGCCCUGCUUUUGUGGGGUGCUCGAGUGGCGAACGGGUGAGUAACACGUGAGUAACCUGCCCUUGACUUUGGGAUAACUUCAGGAAACUGGGGCUAAUACCGGAUAGGAGCUCCUGCUGCAUGGUGGGGGUUGGAAAGUUUCGGCGGUUGGGGAUGGACUCGCGGCUUAUCAGCUUGUUGGUGGGGUAGUGGCUUACCAAGGCUUUGACGGGUAGCCGGCCUGAGAGGGUGACCGGCCACAUUGGGACUGAGAUACGGCCCAGACUCCUACGGGAGGCAGCAGUGGGGAAUAUUGCACAAUGGGCGGAAGCCUGAUGCAGCAACGCCGCGUGCGGGAUGACGGCCUUCGGGUUGUAAACCGCUUUCGCCUGUGACGAAGCGUGAGUGACGGUAAUGGGUAAAGAAGCACCGGCUAACUACGUG
rnacentral:rRNA from 1 species